rnacentral:lncRNA from 1 species
GGAGACCUCGCCAGGACCCGCAUCAUGUCGCGGUCAAGGUGCUGCAGCAGUGCCAUCAGGCUUCACCAGGACCUGAGCACGUUUUGCCACUGCCAGUAGACCACCAAGACCUUUUCUGGGGCCAUCAGACACUUCCAACAAUGGAAAGUUUCACAAGGUACACCCACAGGAGAGCAAGAAUGAAGGAGAAUGCUCUAAACACAUCUUUUGGCAGCAAAAAAGGAGAAUGAAGUAAGUAUAUGUUAAAAAACUUGUAUUUCAAGUUUUCUUCUUGAUCACACUGUAAAAAUCUUACUGAUUUCAAUGGAAUUACCCA